rnacentral:lncRNA from 1 species
GAGAGGGGCUGGGCGGGAAGGACGCGGGUAGCUCGCCGCGUUGUGCAGCGCGCAGCAUGGCCGCCUGCAGGUAGCCGUUUUGGGUCGGUGUGCGGCUCGGGGUAGGCUGCCGGCCGCGCAGCGCUCCUAGGGAAGAAGCGCGUUUCACCUAACCUGGGAGCUAUCUGACAGGCUAUGCUGGGCUUCAGUGUGCUGCACCUUGGUUGACUGAAAACUUGGUGUGAAAAUGAUCAACUGCAACAGCACCUGUGCAGUAAUUAUGAAACAUGCUUUUUCACCUUUAGGUCACAUUACAGCUACUGCCUUGUGCACCAUAGUUCAGGAGCAUGAGAUAGCACAGAUUUGCCAGCUGUAGGACAGUUGGUGGCUGUGCCCUUCAGACAAUGCACUGAUGGUCCAGAGCACAGCAUAAAUUAUCCAGGAAGAGGAAUGCCAUUGUCAACUCUGCCUGAGUAGCUGGAAGUCCUAAGUUACACAGAUAAUUAGAUGAAGACAUCUGUAUAUAUAAUGAAUUUCAAGAAAUACGUUAAUCUCCCCCACUCUAGAGUGAACUCUAAUCUUCCACUGCCAUAGCAGUACUUAGGAGGAAAAGAGGACGAAAUAGGAGGAAAAUACUCACUGUAUUCAAGAAGAAAAUUAAAGAAAUAAAAUCAGAGAAGAGACAGUUCCUUUUCUGCAAAAUACAGGUGGAUGCUGCUAAACUCUUUUCUCAGGUACCCUGUGAUCAAAGGCUUUUAUUAGAAAAACCGGACAAGUGAAAGUGAAGAAUUCACUGUAGAACGCCUUAAGUUUCUAAAAGGAAGAAAAUGAUAAAUCAAGUCUAAAUCAAGAUUCUCCUGAGGAUCUACACUCACUGACACACUUUAUCUCUGCAUCCUGCUGGAUUCCUAAGCGUCAGCAUUCAUUUAAUUUGGCUGAACAGCAUGGAAAAGUUUGAAGUAUCUUUAUUUACGUUAUGCAAUAAAAUUUCUAUUGUUUAAGAAAAUAACAAACGAGAAAAAACAAAGAAAAUAUGAAUAUUUAUAAAAAUACAUCAUAAAGACAUAAACAGCACAGAAAAAUGAAUAAGCUAUUGUGUUUCUAAACAGAGAAAGUAUCUAAGGCAUGCUAGAUGACCUUUUUUUGAUAAUGAUAAUUGGUUGUUCAAAAUAUGUUCAUUUUGUAAGACGUGUUUCUAAGGCUAAGUUGCAUGUAUAAAUUGUGUUUAUGCAGGCAAUGCAAAAAUUUCAGUUUUCAAUUAAUUUUCUAAUUUCCACUUCUAACUUAAGGUGUUUGUCACAAUACUCCGGGUACUAGAUACUUAGCUUUUCAGGCAUGUUAAGAUUUUGCUGUAGGAUUCUUAUUGUUUCAAUAUUCUUUAUAUGGGGCCACUUUUAGCAGGGUAAUUUUAGACAAGCUUCAGUUCAGAAAAGUACACACAUUUAAUUUCUCUAUGGGGUGGCUGAGGUAUGUACACACAUACUGACCUAGUACCAUAAUUACUAGAUCAGUUUUCUUAAACACGCUAAUUUAUAACUCUUGAAAAUAACUGUUUCAAAUUGGUCAAUUUUCAAUGUGUGCGCUUAUACACAUAAAGAAUUCAUAAUGCUGUACAUGUUAUUGUCACAUAGUGCCCCUUCAUUUAAAGCUUCUUCCCAGUUGACAUGAUGCCAGUAUAAUCUAGUAAGUGAUAACAUGGUGUUUCCUGCUGCUUCCCCAUAUUCUCUUAAAUUUUACAUAUCAUUUGUUAUUUUGAAGGGUUUUCUGAAAAAUAAUAAUUCACGGCUAUUUUGUAUCCUAAAGAAGUGAUUGAUAUUUACACUACAAACCACAUUAUCUAUGGGUGUUUUGCAGUAAAUAAAAUAUAAUCAUUUAUAAUCAUACCACCUUGCCAUUUUUAAUUCAUGACAUGAGGUUUACUGUAAGAAUCAUUACCAAUAGUAAUUGGCAUUUGAUUUUAUACAAAGAGUAAAAGGCUAAAUUAGUACUGCUAUGGUUCAAUUUUGUAUACCAUGAAAUGAAUGUAUAGAAGCUGUUUAAAGCUAUAUUUUUAUUAAUUAUAUUGUUUAUUAAUUAUAUUAUAUUUAUUAAUAACUAAGCAGUGGUAUUGAGGUAACAUUAUUUUUGUAUUCACUCAAAAAAUUAAAACCAAACUUUAGAUCUCGUCAUGUAAUGCAUGACCUAUCAUAAUCACUGAUCUGCACAUUGCAUCAGAAGUGCUUCAAAAGAAUCCUCCAUUUUGCUUAAGAAUCAUGACACUGAAGCACAGCUGAACUACUUAUCUCCUUCAUAAAAGAUAAACCACUCAGACUGUUGACUAUAUCCCUAUUUUAAAUGGAUUCCAGAUGUCUCCAUGCAGUGGAAAGAACUCAACAGUUCACAUGAGACGUAUAUUUCAUUAUAUUAGGAGUCUAAAGAAGGAUAUUUUCUCAUUAAAUACUUAUUUUCCUCUUGUUAAUAAAAAACCCUGUUCUUCUUAAAAUAUCAACAACGACCAUCUGUAUGUGUUGCUUGUAGAUUGGUGUGAGGACUGAGUGUGAUCUAUCAUGUUUCUUUUGUUUCUGUGCCACUAUUUUUCUUCUGAAGUGGAAACAUAAAAAAAAUAUGAAUGGCUCCUAAUUUAAUAAAAAACACUGAGUAGAAUCCAAGCUUUGAAUUACUCUAUGCAUAGUUUUGCUCACUACAUCUUGCUACCUAUCAUAUUUUCUGUACAGAACAACAUAUUUUUAAAACAGAAGCUUUGUCUUUACAAUGCCACUUUCCAUAUUCUGGUAUGCAUCUCUCACAUCUCCUUUUUCUGGAUCUCGAAAGUUUAGACUGCUGCCUCUUGGUUCUUACAUCUUGUUUUAUUGCAAUUGAUACACUGUACCUGCCUCAAGUUUCACUCUUCCACACUGCUGAAAUUCUUUCCCAAUGAUGUUAAUAAUGUAAUUGCCAUUAAUUUCAAUAUAUUGGGAUUUCAUUUUGCCUAAAAGACAAAACAUCAGUAUCAAAUGAUGUUUGGCGUUCAGAUUGAUUCAAUUUGAAGAGUCCAGAUUCUCAGUACUUUCUGAAACUUUGGCUUGUUUUAUGUGCCUUGGCGUGUGAUACGUGAGAACAGGGAUCAUUCUUCAGAAGACCUAGAGACUGCAAUCUCUCAGCAUGACCACUCUGGUUCAAAAGGGCCAAGGUCUUGCUCUAGUUCCAUAGCCCCUCCUGGCUAGUGAAUAAUGCUCUUCCACUAAUGCCUGCACAGGUUUUAUUUGUGUGCCACAAAACAAAAACAAGUUUUCCUAUGUUUUACUUUCCUAUGGAACGUAUAUGUAAGUCUUACCAUCUAACAGAAGAUGUCUGCUUUUUUCUCCUCAAUGACAUAGUGGGAGAAACUGACUGGAUAUAUUUUAAUUAAGAUUAAGAUAACUAAUUGAGGGUUCCAGCCAACUCAGUGCUAAAAAUAUACCAUUUUUUAUACCGAAUAUUCUUUAAUAUGAC